rnacentral:rRNA from 1 species
CACGUAAUGGUGGGGACUCUAAGGAGACUGCUGGUGAAGAACCGGAGGAAGGCGGGGACGACGUCAAGUCAUCAUGGCCUUUAUGGGUAGGGCUACACACGUGCUACAAUGGGCAGUACAGAGGGGAGCGAACCUGAGAAGGGGAGCCGAUCUCARAAAGCUGUUCGUAGUCCGGAUUGGAGUCUGCAACUCGACUCCWUGAAGUCGGAAUCGCUAGUAAUCGCGAAUCAGCACGUCGCGGUGAAUACGUUCCCGGGCCU